AGCGAACGCUGGCGGCAGGCCUAAUACAUGCAAGUCGAGCGCACCUUCGGGUGAGCGGCGGACGGGUGAGUAACGCGUGGGAACGUGCCCUAUGGUGCGGAACAACUGAGGGAAACUUCAGCUAAUACCGCAUGUGCCCUAAGGGGGAAAGAUUUAUCGCCAUAGGAGCGGCCCGCGUUGGAUUAGUUAGUUGGUGGGGUAAUGGCUCACCAAGACUUCGAUCCAUAGCUGGUCUGAGAGGAUGAUCAGCCACACUGGGACUGAGACACGGCCCAGACUCCUACGGGAGGCAGCAGUAGGGAAUCUUGCGCAAUGGGCGAAAGCCUGACGCAGCCAUGCCGCGUGAAUGAUGAAGGUCUUAGGAUUGUAAAAUUCUUUCACCGGGGACGAUAAUGACGGUACCCGGAGAAGAAGCUCCGGCUAACUUCGUGC
rnacentral:rRNA from 1 species